rnacentral:rRNA from 1 species
CCUACGGGUGGCAGCAGUAGGGAAUUUUGCGCAAUGGGCGAAAGCCUGACGCAGCAACGCCGCGUGAUCGAGACGCCCUUCGGGGUGUAAAGAUCUGUCAGUGGGGACGAAACUUGACGGUACCCACAGAGGAAGCACCGGCAAACUAGGGGCCAGCAGCCGCGGUAAUACGGGGGGUGCAAGCGUUGUCCGGAAUCAUUCGGCGUAAAGAGUUCGUAGGCGGCACGUAAAGGACGGUGUUAAAGGAAGAGGCUCAACUUCUGUACGGCCGUGGAUACUUGCGAGCUAGAAUGGGGUAGAGGUAAAGGGAAUGCCUGGUGUAGCGGUGAAAUGCUUAGAUAUCAGGAGGAACAUCGGUGGCGUAAGCGCUUUACUGGGCCGUAAUUGACGCUGAGGAACGAAAGCCAGGGUAGCAAAUGGGAUUAGAUACCCGUGUAGUC